rnacentral:misc_RNA from 1 species
GAAAAAUCGAACAAUAGUACUACUGAGGUAUUGUGUACAGUUCGUGUUUUUGAAUCUAUGCUACGCGAUUCGAUUAAGUCAGCUAAUAAAUUUUCUAAGUUAUUGAUGGAAUUAAUGAAAAGGGCAGGUUGGGAUUUGGAAAAAGCAGCAAAUUCUGUGUAUUCUGAUGUUAAUUAUGCAGGAAAAGAACACCAUAAAUAUGCAUUUCUAUCAUAUAUUUGUUUAGGCAUGUUUAAAGGCUUUGAUCUGGAAGACUUUGGUCUGUGUGAUGAAGAAAUAUUGUCUGAUGGAUCAGUAUCUGAUGAGAACGACCAUUUGAAACAAUUACUUGAGCAUGUUUCAUGUAAUCCAAUGGAGACUUUGAGUAAGAAUCCUAGUUGUGCAUUUUCAAGAUAUUGUGAUAAGA